CACAGUGGGGAGGCAGUUCAUUUGAAAGAGGAAAUGGGAGCUUGGAGUUGAAACAUGUCUGCUUGUCUCCUUUUUCUUUUUUCAUUUCUCUUUUCAUCUCCUCGUUUCUCCUAGUAGGUUUCUUCCCCCUCUUUCCCCAACUCAACCCCCUCCUGCGACUCCUAGGACGUUGUCGCCAGUCGCUACUCAUUUCUGGUUUUGGUUUUACCGCCCAGGUCCGCAUUCUCCACCAGGGGUGGAGGAGGUGCCUCGGCGGCGAGACCCACCGGUUGCCCGCCCGCGUGCCGGAGGCGGAAGCCGGGAUCCCUCCUGCUCGCGGCCCCGGCGCGGACCGCGGCUCGGGAAACGCACAGCCGAGGGUUAAAAAACUCCAACCAGUAGGGGGCACCAGAGGCAGCCUCCAGAACCGGGUAAAUCCGGGAACCCGGUCACGUCUGCAAAGCACCCGCUGGCUUUCACUCUCACCCGCCCGUCAGAAAUUGCUUCCCAAAUCGAGCCUGCCGCAGAGUGGGAAGGCGACAGAGGGAGGGAUUCACUGCAUUUGCCAGUGGCUCAUCAAGGUUUAUUAAAGGCUCCAAGUACAUCUGCUUAUGAGCUGCUCAAACGGAGACAGUUGGCAAAAGUUCUCCCCUUUGUUGCUUUGGUGCCCCCUUGACACCUUUUUCUUGGCCAUGAGAGCACUUCUUAGGGACACCAUCAGACCUAUAGCAGGUAAGGAUUUGCAAAGGGAACUUUGUUGUCCUCCUGAUCUUUGGUUGAAAGGAUAAUUUAUUAUUCUUCCUAUUUUUUCUAUAUUGUUCUAUUUUGUAUACUGAGCUCACAUUAUGUUUAGGGUGGAAAAAUACCUUUAUUCAAAAAACAUUAUUUAUCAUAAUAUCCCUUGAUAAAAUAGUAGCCCGAAGGAAGCUACCUUUGUGGGUUGAAUAUUGACUAAAACACCGACUAAAGAGUUAAUGAAGUGCCUCAAGUCCUGAGAUGUGAGGCCAGUAGGCAAUACGGAAUCAGUAGAACAAGACUGACAAUACCUUUGAGUGUAACCAUAUUUAUAAGGGAAAUGGCAGAA